rnacentral:rRNA from 1 species
ACACGGAUGAAAGACAAGCUGAAAGACUUUUCUCAAUGAUGUAAGUGGUGGUGCAUGGUCGUUCUUAGUUCGUGGAUUGAUUUGUCUGGUCUAUUCCGAUAACGAGCGAGACCCCUACGUUCCUAAUAGGGGUGCCCGCCCGGCUGGUCCCUUCACCGGGGCCUGCUAGCGGGCACUUAGGUUUGCUUCUUAGACGUAUCAGGGCCGAUAAGGUCCUUGAAAUGGGUUAAUAACAGGUCAGUCAUGCCCUUAGAUGUUCUGGGCCGCACGCGCGUUACAAUGGUACACACACAGAGUGCCCACAAGGGCGUUUCCGCGGCCUCGCGGUCGCGGUAACCCCUAAUCUGUUCCUUGACUGGGACAGACUAUUGCAAUUAUUGKYCUCCAACGAGGAAUUUUUAGUAGUCGUAGGUCAUUAACCCGCGGCG